CCGAGUCUUAACCGGGCGUUAAGUUGCAGGGUAUAGACCCGAAACCCGGUGAUCUAGCCAUGGGCAGGUUGAAGGUUGGGUAACACUAACUGGAGGACCGAACCGACUAAUGUUGAAAAAUUAGCGGAUGACCUGUGGCUGGGGGUGAAAGGCCAAUCAAACCGGGAGAUAGCUGGUUCUCCCCGAAAGCUAUUUAGGUAGCGCCUCGUGAAUUCAUCUCCGGGGGUAGAGCACUGUUUCGGCUAGGGGGCCAUCCCGGCUUACCAACCCGAUGCAAACUGCGAAUACCGGAGAAUGUUAUCACGGGAGACACACGGCGGGUGCUAACGUCCGUCGUGAAGAGGGAAACAACCCAGACCGCCAGCUAAGGUCCCAAAGUCAUGGUUAAGUGGGAAACGAUGUGGGAAGGCCCAGACAGCCAGGAUGUUGGCUUAGAAGCAGCCAUCAUUUAAAGAAAGCGUAAUAGCUCACUGGUCGAGUCGGCCUGCGCGGAAGAUGUAACGGGGCUAAACCAUGCACCGAAGCUGCGGCAGCGAACGUAUCACCCAAGACAACUUUACGGAGUUGACGAUUGACGGAGCGAAGCGACGUCAAAGCGUUCAUUAAAGUCGAGUUGGCUUAGGGAUACGUUCGUUGGGUAGGGGAGCGUUCUGUAAGCCUGUGAAGGUGUGUCGUGAGGCAUGCUGGAGGUAUCAGAAGUGCGAAUGCUGACAUAAGUAACGAUAAAGCGGGUGAAAAGCCCGCUCGCCGGAAGACCAAGGGUUCCUGUCCAACGUUAAUCGGGGCAGGGUGAGUCGACCCCUAAGGCGAGGCCGAAAGGCGUAGUCGAUGGGAAACGGGUUAAUAUUCCCGUACUUGGUGUUACUGCGAAGGGGGGACGGAGAAGGCUAUGUUGGCCGGGCGACGGUUGUCCCGGUUUAAGCGUGUAGGUGUGUGUUCCAGGUAAAUCCGGUUCACUUUAACACUGAGGCGUGACGACGAGGCACUACGGUGCUGAAGCAACAAAUGCCCUGCUUCCAGGAAAAGCCUCUAAGCAUCAGGUAACACGAAAUCGUACCCCAAACCGACACAGGUGGUCAGGUAGAGAAUACCAAGGCGCUUGAGAGAACUCGGGUGAAGGAACUAGGCAAAAUGGUGCCGUAACUUCGGGAGAAGGCACGCUGACACGUAGGUGAAGUGAUUUACUCAUGGAGCUGAAGUCAGUCGAAGAUACCAGCUGGCUGCAACUGUUUAUUAAAAACACAGCACUGUGCAAACACGAAAGUGGACGUAUACGGUGUGACGCCUGCCCGGUGCCGGAA
rnacentral:rRNA from 1 species